AGCUCACUGGUCGAGUGAUCCUGCGCCGAAGAUUUCCGGGGCUAAAACUUACUACCGAAGCUACGGCAUCAGUAAUGAUGGGUAGGGGAGCUUCCCAUACGGGUUGAAGCAUGACCGUAAGGACAUGUGGACAGUAUGGGAGUGAGAAUGUUGGCAUGAGUAGCGAGAUGUGGGUGGGAAUCCCACAGGCCGUAAACCCAAGGUUU
rnacentral:rRNA from 1 species